CCUACGGGGGGCAGCAGUAGGGAAUAUUGCUCAAUGGGGGAAACCCUGAUGCAGCAACGCCGCGUGAGUGAUGAAGGUUCUCGGUUUGUAAACCCCUUUUGUUAGAGAAGAUAAUGACGGUAUCUGACGACUAAGCACCGGCUAACUCCGUGCCAGCAGCCGCGGUAAUACGUAGGGGGCAAGCGUUACUCGGAUUCACUGGGCGUAAAGCGCGCGUAGGCGGGAUAGCAAGUCAGAGGUGAAAUCCUGUGGCUUAACCAUAGAACUGCAUUUGAAACUGUGAGUCUAGAGUAUAGGAGAGGUAGGCGGAAUUCUUGGUGUAGGGGUAAAAUGCGUAGAGAUCAAGAGGAACACUGAUGGCGAAGGCGGCCUGCUAGACUAUAACUGACGUUGAGGCGCGAAAGCGUGGGGAGCAAACAGGAUUAGAUACCCGGGUAGUC
rnacentral:rRNA from 1 species